rnacentral:tRNA from 1 species
UUCUUCAUAGGAUAAGAAUAAUCCGUAAUAUUUAGGAUAUUAAGAUAUAAUUUAUUUAUUGACAGAA